GUGCCAUAAUAUGCCCUGCAGCAUAAACAAACAUUUACAGGCUGUACAGAAGCUCAUACGUCUCUAAAAUCAUGAAGCAAGUAGAGCACAGAUCAUCCUUCCUGAAGUUAUUGGAAUUAAGAAAAAUACCUAGUAGUAGCAGAAGGUUCUGUAGGUGGAAAUCCAAAAGCAGUGACAUGAAAUACUUCAUCCUCGUACCAACCUGUGGAAUAAAUAAGAACAACCCAGCAAAUUUAAAGCAUGAACAAGAACUUCAAAUACCGAAUUAGCACAGAACUUUCUCAAUGUCAGAUUUAUACUCUACAGUACCACUUGCAAUAUACUGACUGGUUAAGUUCAUACGUGUUAAGCUAGAGCUUGUUUAAUUAUCGUAACUAAGUAAACCAUGAUUCAUUGCACUGAAUCAUAAACAAUGAUUUAUAAAAUAAAUUGCUAGAAUACUAUGCCAAACCAUAUACUUCACAUUAUGAUUUAAUGCAGCAUCUGAAACCUAUCAUUAUAGGUAUCUUGUACUGUAUGUAAUUUACAUGUGACAGGAAUAAGGAUAAUUGUACAUGAGUUGAACUGAAUUAUAGAUCAGAUUCCCAGAAACAUGCUGGAUCACAAAUCAGACCUUACUGAAGUAAUGUAAUUAAAUUAGCAAAAUUGAUUAUACACAAUCUGUUUUAUUUCAUUUUUAUUGUUAAACUAGAACAUGUUUACA